UACGAAGGGGGCUAGCGUUGCUCGGAAUUACUGGGCGUAAAGCGCACGUAGGCGGUCUUUUAAGUCGGUGGUGAAAUCUUGGAGCUCAACUCCAGAACUGCCUUCGAUACUGGAAGACUUGAGUCCGGGAGAGGUGAGUGGAACUGCGAGUGUAGAGGUGAAAUUCGUAGAUAUUCGCAAGAACACCAGUGGCGAAGGCGGCUCACUGGCCCGGUACUGACGCUGAGGUGCGAAAGCGUGGGGAGCAAACAGG
rnacentral:rRNA from 1 species